ACAGCAGUCGCCACGGGAAUACAGAGGGUGCGAGCGUUAAUCGGAUUUACUGGGCGUAAAGCGUGCGUAGGCGGCUUCUUAAGUCGGAUGUGAAAUCCCUGAGCUUAACUUAGGAAUUGCAUUCGAUACUGGGAAGCUAGAGUAUGGGAGAGGAUGGUAGAAUUCCAGGUGUAGCGGUGAAAUGCGUAGAGAUCUGGAGGAAUACCGAUGGCGAAGGCAGCCAUCUGGCCUAAUACUGACGCUGAGGUACGAAAGCAUGGGGAGCAAACAGGAUUAGAUACCCGUGUAGUCCCUGUCUCUUAUAC
rnacentral:rRNA from 1 species